GUGCCAGCCGCCGCGGUAAUACAGAGGUCCCAAGCGUUGUUCGGAUUCACUGGGCGUAAAGGGUGCGUAGGUGGCCGGGUAAGUCUGACGUGAAAUCUCCAAGCUCAACUUGGAAACUGCAUCGGAUACUAUCCGGCUCGAGGAUCGGAGGGGAGACUGGAAUGCUUGGUGUAGCAGUGAAAUGCGUAGAUAUCAAGCGGAACACCAGUGGCGAAGGCGAGUCUCUGGACGAUUCCUGACGCUGAGGCACGAAAGCCAGGGGAGCAAACGGGAUUAGAUACCCCCGUAGUCC
rnacentral:rRNA from 1 species